AAUCGGUAGCAUCCGGACGAAAUGCUUAGCGGUAUUUUGUCUGUCGCUACGUUCUGAGUUCAAAUUCCGCGAGGUCGACUUUGCCUUUCAUCCAUUCGGGUUCGAUAAAUUAAAUACCAGUUGCGUACAGGCGUUGAUCUGAUCGACUGCCUCCUCCCCGCAAAUUUCGUGCCUCGUGCCUAGAG